UCCCGAGACGGCAUCUAGCAGAAUAGCCAGCGACACUACGUGACAGCAGCAGCGAUACUAGCGUAGGUGGCGAGCGUAUUGCGGUAUAUUGAGCGUAGAGCGAGCGCGUGCUGUGUCUUAAGUCUGACGUGAAAGCCCCCGGCUCACCCGUGGAGGGUCAUCGGGAAACUGCGAGACUUGAUGUCAGAAAAGAGAGAGUGGAAUUCCAUUUGAAGCGGUGAAUGCCGUGGAUAUAUGGAGGAACACCAGGGGGGAGGGGGGCUCUGUGGUGUAUAAGGACCGUCGAGAGUCGAAAGCGUGGGGAGCAAACAGGAUAAGAUACCUUGGUAGUCCACGCUGUAAACGAUGAGUGUUAAGUGUUGUAGCGUUUCGGCCUUUCAGUGUUACAGCUAACGCUUUAAGCACUCCGCGUGGAGAGUGCGAGCGCAAGGUUGAAACUCAAGGGAAUUGACGGGGGCCCGCACGAGCGGUGGAGCAUGUGGUUUAUUUAGAAGCAACGAAAAGAACCUCCCCAGGUCUUGACAUCCUUUGAUCACCAGAGAUAUAGAGGUUCCCUUUAGGGGUCAAAGUCACAUGUGGUGCAUCGUUGUUGUCAUCUUGUGUUGUGAUGUGGUGUUAUGUCUCGCGCAGCGAGCACACCCCUUCUUGUUUGUCCCCAUCUUUUGGUUGGGCACUCUAGCAAGACAGCCGCUGACAAACCGAAGAAGGGGGGGGAGGAGGUCUAAUCAUCAGGCCCUUUAUGACGUGUGCUACACACGUGCUACAAUGGGAAGUACAAAGAGUCGCAAAGUCGCGAGAGCAAGCCAACCUCAUAAAGAUCGUCGUCGUCCGGAUUGGAGUCUGCAACUGGCCUA
rnacentral:rRNA from 1 species